rnacentral:rRNA from 1 species
AGAGUUUGAUCCUGGCUCAGAACGAACGCUGGCGGCACGCUUAACACAUGCAAGUCGAACGAGAUUACGGGUUCGCUCGUAAUUUAGUGGCGCACGGGUGAGGAACGCGUGACUACCUGCCUGUUGAUGGUGGAUAACUCCGGGAAACUGGAGCUAAUACAGCAUGAGCUCGAGAGAGGAAAGACGAAAGUCGUCGACAGAAGGGGUUGCGUCUGAUUAGGUAGUUGGUGGGGUAAAGGCCUACCAAGCCGAUGAUCAGUAGCUGGUCUGAGAGGAUGGUCAGCCACACUGGAACUGAGACACGGUCCAGACUCCUACGGGAGGCAGCAGUGGGGAAUAUUGGACAAUGGGCGAAAGCCUGAUCCAGCGAUGCCGCGUGAGUGAUGAAGGCCUUAGGGUUGUAAAGCUCUUUUGACAGGGACGAUGAUGACGGUACCUGUAGAAUAAGCACCGGCUAACUCUGUGCC